rnacentral:rRNA from 1 species
AGGUAGUUUUAUUUAAAUAAACCUAUUAAUUAUGGCGGCAUCUACUCUUAUUAGAGGAACUUGUUUCCUAAUUGAUAAUUCACAUUAAUUUUAACUUUAAUUAUAAAUUUAUAUACCGCCAUCUUAAGAAUUAAUUUAAAAAUAUUUUUCCGAAUAAUAAAUAAAAAGUUAGGUCAAGGUGUAAUUAACAUUUAAGUAAAAAUGAGUUACUUUAAAAAUAAUUUUAGGAUUAAAAAUUAAUACAUCUUUAUAAAAAAGGAUUUAAAAGUAAUUAAUUAAUAUUAAUUAUUAAUGAAUUAGAUAAUAAAUGUGC